AGAGACUGUAACCCAGUGACUGUGGGUACCUUUCUUCUUGUGAAAGGAAUUAGCACUGAACAGAGUCUUUUUAUCAGAGCCAUGCUCUUAUCAGAGCAUCUCCCUUUAUAUUGCUUCCUUCCCCAGCCAUUGUGGAAACAGACAUCCUGCCCAAGGCAUCGAAAUCCACAAUCUGCUGCUUCUUCUAUGGAGCCUCUGGAUUUUUGCCAGCAGCCCCUUGAGGUGGUCCCAGAUGUGAUUGCUGGAAAUAUCCGGUAAAAACAAAGGGCUGCACUCACCCCAGUUAGCAGCACUUCCUCUGCUCUCAGGGAUGUGCAGUGGGAGAUCUAAGGCAUGAUACACCCAGAGAAGUCAUGGCUAAAAUGGCAGGGUCACACUCAAAGGGAUAUUCCUGCAAGAGAGUAAAGCCAAUCUUUUUAUUGCAUCUCUCAGCUGGUGCUCCAUUUACCUCCAGUUCACAUGAACUCAGGAGAUGUGCAUGGCAUGUCAUUCCCACAGAGUUCUUCUGCAGGGAAAAUGCUAAUUCCUUGCACCUAUGUUGUGUGUGAAAGGAGAUUAGGUUUGGAUACUGCUUUCCUCCCGUGGGGGGGGAAAAAAAAAAGGGUAAACAAUCCUAUUUUUAUUUCAAAGUAACUUGUGCUUAAAAUGGCCACUUGUCCCUUGGGUUUUGCAGUGCCUGCAGAUAACCCCAGGCAGCUUUCUGAGAUCCAGCUGUGGCUGUCCUUGGGGCCAUGUGGAUAUGUUGCAUCAUCUUUCUGGAUGUGCUUUACGAGAGCACAGCAAGAGGCCAGAUGUGUUUUGCAUGGAGGAGGGCUGAUCUGGAGAGUGAAAACAGCUUGCUGCUUGGAGGACUGUCCACAAAAGAACAAAGCCCUGAGGACACUUCCCUGCACUGUGCCCCACUAG
rnacentral:lncRNA from 1 species